rnacentral:rRNA from 1 species
UACGGGGGGGGCAAGCGUUGUUCGGAAUUACUGGGCGUAAAGGGCGCGUAGGCGGCCUGCUAAGUCGGAUGUGAAAUCCCUCGGCUCAACCGAGGAACUGCAUCCGAUACUGGCGGGCUUGAAUCCGGGAGAGGGAUGUGGAAUUCCAGGUGUAGCGGUGAAAUGCGUAGAUAUCUGGAGGAACACCGGUGGCGAAGGCGGCAUCCUGGACCGGUAUUGACGCUGAGGCGCGAAAGCUAGGGGAGCAA